AAGCACUACUGGUGAAGUCGCACAUAGAUACAGAAAAGCCCAUGCUUCGGAUGACUGCCACAAUGAGAGGAAGGAACACUUCUGAGAGAAGCCAUCACUUGCAGGAAAAGAGAACAUCUUUUGUCAAGACUUAAAGAAGAAUUUUGGGGCUAACAGGACUUAAAGAUGGAAUAGGGAACUGAAUAAGCUUUAUUAUCUGCUUUUGUCAUAAAUCUACAGUCAUGUACCACAUUCCAGAUGUCACCUGACCUGUUUUUUUAACAUUUGUUUUCUUUUUUCUACUUAAUUAUGUAAUUGUGUUUUGAAUAAUGAAUGUAAGAGGGGUUGGGUUGGUUAUGUUUUAUGAUGUGUUUUUAUAAUGUUUUAUAAUAUGUUUUAUUAUCUAGUUUACUAU
rnacentral:lncRNA from 1 species